rnacentral:rRNA from 1 species
GAUGAACGCUGGCGGCGUGCCUAAUACAUGCAAGUCGAGCGAAUGGACGAGAAGCUUGCUUCUCUGAUGUUAGCGGCGGACGGGUGAGUAACACGUGGAUAACCUACCUAUAAGACUGGGAUAACUUCGGGAAACCGGAGCUAAUACCGGAUAAUAUUUUGAACCGCAUGGUUCAAAAGUAAAAGACGGUCUUGCUGUCACUUAUAGAUGGAUCCGCGCUGCAUUAGCUAGUUGGUAAGGUAACGGCUUACCAAGGCAACGAUGCAUAGCCGACCUGAGAGGGUGAUCGGCCACACUGGAACUGAGACACGGUCCAGACUCCUACGGGAGGCAGCAGUAGGGAAUCUUCCGCAAUGGGCGAAAGCCUGACGGAGCAACGCCGCGUGAGUGAUGAAGGUCUUCGGAUCGUAAAACUCUGUUAUUAGGGAAGAACAUAUGUGUAAGUAACUGUGCACAUCUUGACGGUACCUAAUCAGAAAGCCACGGCUAACUACGUG